rnacentral:rRNA from 1 species
AUUGAACGCUGGCGGCAUGCCUUACACAUGCAAGUCGAACGGCAGCACGGGGCAACCUGGUGGCGAGUGGCGAACGGGUGAGUAAUGCAUCGGAACGUGCCAUUGAGUGGGGGAUAACGUAGCGAAAGUUGCGCUAAUACCGCAUAUUCUGUGAGCAGGAAAGCAGGGGACCGCAAGGCCUUGCGCUCUUUGAGCGGCCGAUGUCGGAUUAGCUAGUUGGUGAGGUAAAGGCUUACCAAGGCGACGAUCUGUAGCGGGUCUGAGAGGAUGAUCCGCCACACUGGAACUGAGACACGGUCCAGACUCCUACGGGAGGCAGCAGUGGGGAAUUUUGGACAAUGGGCGCAAGCCUGAUCCAGCCAUGCCGCGUGAGUGAAGAAGGCCUU